rnacentral:rRNA from 2 species
UGCAGUCGAGCGGGGGAGGUAGCUUGCUACCGGACCUAGCGGCGGACGGGUGAGUAAUGCUUAGGAAUCUGCCUAUUAGUGGGGGACAACAUCUCGAAAGGGAUGCUAAUACCGCAUACGUCCUACGGGAGAAAGCAGGGGAUCUUCGGACCUUGCGCUAAUAGAUGAGCCUAAGUCGGAUUAGCUAGUUGGUGGGGUAAAGGCCUACCAAGGCGACGAUCUGUAGCGGGUCUGAGAGGAUGAUCCGCCACACUGGGACUGAGACACGGCCCAGACUCCUACGGGAGGCAGCAGUGGGGAAUAUUGGACAAUGGGGGGAACCCUGAUCCAGCCAUGCCGCGUGUGUGAAGAAGGCCUUAUGGUUGUAAAGCACUUUAAGCGAGGAGGAGGCUACUUUAGUUAAUACCUAGAGAUAGUGGACGUUACUCGCAGAAUAAGCACCGGCUAACUCUGUGCCAGCAGCCGCGGUAAUACAGAGGGUGCGAGCGUUAAUCGGAUUUACUGGGCGUAAAGCGUGCGUAGGCGGCUUAUUAAGUCGGAUGUGAAAUCCCCGAGCUUAACUUGGGAAUUGCAUUCGAUACUGGUGAGCUAGAGUAUGGGAGAGGAUGGUAGAAUUCCAGGUGUAGCGGUGAAAUGCGUAGAGAUCUGGAGGAAUACCGAUGGCGAAGGCAGCCAUCUGGCCUAAUACUGACGCUGAGGUACGAAAGC